rnacentral:rRNA from 1 species
GAUCCUGGCUCAGGAUGAACGCUGGCGGCGUGCUUAACACAUGCAAGUCGAACGAAGCGCUUAAAUGGAUUUCUUCGGAUUGAAGUUUUUGUGACUGAGUGGCGGACGGGUGAGUAACGCGUGGGUAACCUGCCUCGUACAGGGGGAUAACAGUUAGAAAUAGACUGCUAAUACCGCAUAAGUCGCACAGUGCUGCAUGGCACAGUGUGAAAACUACCGGUGGUAUGAGAUGGACCCGGCCG